GGCAGCAGUAGGGAUCUUCCCCAAUGGGCAAGCCUGAUGGAGCAACGCCGCGUGUGAUGAAGGGUUUCGGUCGUAAAACACUGUUAUAAGAGAAGAACGGCACUGAGAGUAACUGUUCAGUGUGACGGUAUCUUACCAGAAAGGAACGGCUAAAUACGUGCCAGCAGCCGCGGUAAUACGUAUGUUCCAAGCGUUAUCCGGAUUUAUUGGGCGUAAAGCGAGCGCAGACGGUUAUUUAAGUCUGAAGUGAAAGCCCUCAGCUCAACUGAGGAAUGGCUUUGGAAACUGGAUGACUUGAGUGCAGUAGAGGAAAGUGGAACUCCAUGUGUAGCGGUGAAAUGCGUAGAUAUAUGGAAGAACACCAGUGGCGAAGGCGGCUUUCUGGACUGUAACUGACGUUGAGGCUCGAAAGUGUGGGUAGCAAACAGGAUUAGAUACCCUGGUAGUCCACACCGUAAACGAUGAGUGCUAGAUGUUCGAGGGUUUCCGCCCUUGAGUGUCGCAGCUAACGCAUUAAGCACUCCGCCUGGGGAGUACGACCGCAAGGUUGAAACUCAAAGGAAUUGACGGGGACCCGCACAAGCGGUGGAGCAUGUGGUUUAAUUCGAAGCAACGCGAAGAACCUUACCAGGUCUUGACAUCCCUUGCUAAUCCUAGAAAUAGGACGUUCCCUUCGGGGACAAGGUGACAGGUGGUGCAUGGUUGUCGUCAGCUCGUGUCGUGAGAUGUUGGGUUAAGUCCCGCAACGAGCGCAACCCUUAUUAUUAGUUGCCAGCAUUCAGUUGGGCACUCUAGUGAGACUGCCGGUGACAAACCGGAGGAAGGUGGGGAUGACGUCAAAUCAUCAUGCCCCUUAUGACCUGGGCUACACACGUGCUACAAUGGCAUAUACAACGAGUCGCCAACCCGCGAGGGUGCGCUAAUCUCUUAAAGUAUGUCUCAGUUCGGAUUGUAGGCUGCAACUCGCCUACAUGAAGUCGGAAUCGCUAGUAAUCGCGGAUCAGCACGCCGCGGUGAAUACGUUCCCGGGUCUUGUACACACCGCCCGUCACACCAUGAGAGUUUGUAACACCCAAAGCCGGUGGGGUAACCUUUUAGGAGCCAGCCGUCUAAGGUGGACAGAUGAUAGGUGAAGUCG
rnacentral:rRNA from 1 species